CCUACGGGGGGCAGCAGUGGGGAAUUUUCCGCAAUGGGCGCAAGCCUGACGGAGCAAUACCGCGUGAGGGAUGAAGGCCUAUGGGUUGUAAACCUCUUUUUUCAGGGAGGAACAAAAUGACGUGUACCUGAAGAAUAAGCAUCGGCUAACUCCGUGCCAGCAGCCGCGGUAAGACGGGGGAUGCAAGUGUUAUCCGGAAUCACUGGGCGUAAAGCGUCUGUAGGUGGUUAAGUAAGUCAACUUGUUAAAUCUUGAGGCUCAACCUCAAAAUCGCAGUCGAAACUGCUUGACUAGAGUAUAGUAGGGGUAAAGGGAAUUUCCAGUGGAGCGGUGAAAUGCGUAGAUAUUGGAAAGAACACCGAUGGCGAAGGCACUUUACUGGGCUAUUACUAACACUGAGAGACGAAAGCUAGGGUAGCAAAUGGGAUUAGAUACCCGAGUAGUC
rnacentral:rRNA from 1 species